rnacentral:snoRNA from 1 species
CUGGAUCGAAUGAUGAAGCAUUUCGGAUGUUAAGACUUAUUGUCAUUGUCCGAGAGCGCAAAACCCUGUGGACAUUUCCGUUGCCUUCCUUCUGACAUCGAUCCU